UCUAUUUUCCUCCAAAGUCGCUGAAUUGGAGUAGGUGAAGCAGGGGAACACUGCGACAUUUCGAAAACUUGAGAUAUGGAAGGCCAUGACUCGGAUGAUGCAGCGCUUCCCAACAUGACGACCAUUUCUUGGCACAAUUUCGGCGACGACCCUGAAAAGCCUGAAUUGUGCAUCUCCGUCAUUGAGAAUAUGAAGGAAGACUAUGGCCUUUUCGUCUGGCCUUGCAGUAUAGUCUUAGCCGAGUAUGUUUGGCAACAAAGGCAACGGUUUGCUGGAACUACUGUUGUUGAGCUUGGCGCUGGAACUUCCUUGCCUGGCUUGGUUACUGCUAAAGUGGGAGCUGAUGUCACCCUUACAGAUGACUCCAGUAGAUUAGAGGUACUUGACAACAUGCGUAAAGUUUGUGCCUUGAAUAAUCUUAAGUGCAAUGUUCUGGGAUUGACAUGGGGAGUGUGGGAUUCAUUCAUAUUCCGUUUACAGCCCAAAUUUAUUCUUGGGGCUGAUGUUUUGUAUGACUCAAAUGCCUUUGAUGACCUCUUUGCUACCGUGACAUUCCUGCUUCAAAAAUCUCCUGGCUCAGUUUUUAUAACAUCAUAUCAUAAUCGGAGUGGGCAUCACCUUAUUGAGUUUUUAAUGGUAAAAUGGGGCCUGAAGUGUGUCAAGCUUCUUGAUGGGUUUUCUUUCCUACCACCCUGCAAGGCAUCUAUGCUAAGCGAAUUUAUUUGGUGACACAAUGGCAUUACUGUUGUUAUACUGGUGUGUGCUGCUUUAAAGCUUCAUAUCUAUAAUAUCGAGUGGUGCAGUUAACCACAGAUGUCAACAAAUUUGUACCUGUGCUACUGUCAAUUGGUUCAGAAUCUUCUAACUAUUUUUGAGCAGACAACUUUAAAUCAUUCUUUUUUGCAAUAAAAAUGGUUUUGUCCUCUGUGAUAUUUCAGCCUGAUUUCCUUAUAAACACUUCUCCCUCAGUUUUUCUUAGGAGGAGGGAUGGUGGUGGUUAUGAAAAAAGGAGAAAAAAGCAUGGAUGCUUGAACACCCACCACAUCUUUAGGUUUCUGGAUCGUAUUGUUCACUUUCAAGCCAUGUUUCCUUAGUUGGAGUGGAAGUGUUUAUAAGGAAAUCAGGCUGAAAUAUCACAGAGGACAAAACCAUUUUUAUUGCAAAAAAGAAUGAUUUAAAGUUGUCUGCUCAAAAAUAGUUUUUCUUAGGAGGAGGGAUGGUGGUGGUUAUGAAAAAAGGAGAAAAGAGCAUGGAUGCUUGAACACCCACCACAUCUUUAGGUUUCUGAAUCGUAUUGUUCACUUUCAAGCCAUGUUUCCUUAGUUGGAGUAGUUUAAUUCAGUCGAGGUUAUAAAAUGUUAUGCAUAUGACAACAUUGAAGAGGUUCUUUAAUUUAAUAAUGUCCUUUGUUCUCUCAGAUGGUAAUGAGAUCAUUAGAAUUUUGUUCUCUUGGAUUAAGAUGCAAAUCAUAUCUUCUCUGGUAGUUACAAGGAUGUGUUACCAGAAAUCUUGAGCUCAUAAUUUUGCGAAGAAACUCAUGGCACGGAUAAGAAGAGUAUGUAUCUUAGUUAGCACUUCCAGUGGCCAGGCAUAUUUUACCUUCAAUUCAUAGAUUAACUCUUAAAGAUCUUGAGCUUCAUUACAAUCAGAUAAAAAUCCUUUAUCAGUAUCAUCAGAUAAGCAAUUUCUUGACAUCAGGUAUGAUCUACAGCUUUCAUACCUCAUUAUUUUCAAAUUCGUAGCUUACCCUGAAUUGGACUGAGCGUUAAGAUAGACAUCCUAGUUGACAACCCUGCAGUCCUUCCUAAUCUCUUGCCCACCAUUGAUGCUACUCAUUUUGAUCAUUGAAUUGGCAAAAGCUUUGAAGAAGGCCUCUCGUGAGGUAGCAAACUCAGACACCAAGUCCUUGGUCUUUGGGGUAUCAAGCAGAGCUUGGUCAGAAGAAAAUAAACUCUUCCCUUGGAGGAUUGCCUUGAAAUAUAUGUUAUCAAAAGUAGUUGAAGAAGGGUCUAUGGUGGUGCCAGUAUUCUUUGCUUGAUUUUUCAGAGGACAAAUUGACUUCAAUUUUGCAGCGAAGGAUGGAUUUAAUGAAGGAUCCACAUCGUGUGUAGCAUUGAAAUUUUGAAUUCUGUUCUGGAAGGAUGAGCAAUGAGAGAAACCUAAAGUAUGUCCUCCUACAUUGAGUCAAAAUAUAUAUUACUCGAAACACUUUUCAGAUGUAUACUGGAAUAUUAUUCAAAGAAAAAAGAUAUAUACUGGAAUAGGAUAUGCUUAGAUGAAGAAGUAUUGGCAAUUUGGAUCUUUAGCGUUGCUUGCCUGACAAGGUGACCAGAUCCUCGGUUGACAGACCUCUUUGAGAGAAGCUAUGCUGCAACUGUGAUAUGUUGAAGGUUGGUGCUGGUAAUUGUCUGGUUUCACUGGCCAUAGAUGUUCUGCCAUCCUUUCUUCCUUUAGGCACAUCCCAACCUGGACCUCCAGA